rnacentral:rRNA from 1 species
ACGAACGCUGGCGGCGCGCCUAACACAUGCAAGUCGCACGAGCGAGAGAGAGCUUGCUUUCUUGAGCGAGUGGCGAACGGGUGAGUAACGCGUGAGGAACCUGCCUCAAAGAGGGGGACAACAGUUGGAAACGACUGCUAAUACCGCAUAAGCCCACGGUGCCGCAUGGCACAGAGGGAAAAGGAGCAAUCCGCUUUGAGAUGGCCUCGCGUCCGAUUAGCUAGUUGGUGAGGUAACGGCCCACCAAGGCGACGAUCGGUAGCCGGACUGAGAGGUUGAACGGCCACAGUGGGACUGAGACACGGCCCAGACUCCUACGGGAGGCAGCAGUGGGGAAUAUUGCACAAUGGGGGAAACCCUGAUGCAGCGACGCCGCGUGGAGGAAGAAGGUCUUCGGAUUGUAAACUCCUGUUGUUGGGGAAGAUAAUGACGGUACCCAACAAGGAAGUGACGGCUAACUACGUG